rnacentral:rRNA from 1 species
CCUACGGGGGACAGCAGUGAGGAAUAUUGGUCAAUGGGCGCUAGCCUGAACCAGCCAAGUAGCGUGAAGGAUGACUGCCCUAUGGGUUGUAAACUUCUUUUAUAUGGGAAUAAAGUGCAGUAUGUAUACUGCUUUGCAUGUACCUUAUGAAUAAGGAUCGGCUAACUCCGUGCCAGCAGCCGCGGUAAUACGGAGGAUCCGAGCGUUAUCCGGAUUUAUUGGGUUUAAAGGGAGCGUAGGCGGGUUGUUAAGUCAGUUGUGAAAGUUUGCGGCUCAACCGUAAAAUUGCAGUUGAUACUGGCAUCCUUGAGUACAGUAGAGGUAGGCGGAAUUCGUGGUGUAGCGGUGAAAUGCUUAGAUAUCACGAAGAACUCCGAUUGCGAAGGCAGCCUGCUGGACUGUAACUGACGCUGAUGCUCGAAAGUGUGGGUAGCAAACAGGAUUAGAUACCCGAGUAGUC